rnacentral:misc_RNA from 1 species
UCCGCACAGCACAACACAGCAAGCGCGACAGCGGUGUCGGCGCUGCCCUGACCUCCCCCGUUCUCUUUCAGGGCACCUUUCUCCUCCUCCGCGACUCUGGUUACCCUUCCGGCUCACGCUCCCCUAGUAAGAUGUCGCGCGCACACAGGGACCAUACGUGGAUGAAGAACCACCCCCUCGAGGGGGACGACAUCGUCGCCGGGCUGUACAACAUUCUGGCAAAGCGCAACCCAAAGACGAUGAAGGCGUGCCGCGGGAUUCGCAUUCCGGACACGGUCGUGUUUGAGCACAACUUUCCACGCGGCUGGUACACAACGGACAUGAAGGCGAAGGAGGUGGUGCGCAAGCAAGGCAAGGACCUCGACGCCAACACCAUCGAGCAUGGCUUUACACAAGACCUCUGCGAUGGCUCCCCCAUCGCCGCCACCUACCUCUGCACAACGGAGCAGACAACCGACGACGGUGAGACGGAGGUCAACACACUCGUCGAGGUGUUCACCCGCGACACGCUGGCCGCCUUCCUUGCACGCAAGGUCAAGCCGGAUGGCAUUCUGCAGAAGUUUAUCCUUCCGAAGGGGUAUCAGAACAGUGUCAUCAAGGUCGUGUGGAGCCCGCGCGUCUGCAUGGUACAGCGCCGCACGAACAAGUACCGCAUCUUCGACCGCAAGAGAGCUGAGCGCGACCCCUUCUCCAUCACUGUCACCUACGACGGCCCCACCUUUCUAAGCGAUGAGGGCAGCGUGUCUGGCAACAUUGCGAUAGAGGUGAAGCAGCUGUGCGGCAACAUCGUUCAGCACUUCUACUACACCGAACACAAGUACAUCACGCGGAUGGUGCUCUACUUCAAGGGUGACCAGCGCGACCGGCUGUGGCUGCUGUGGUGCGGGUCGCUGCGCGUGUCGGACCGCAACACGCCAAGCGAGAUGCCCGUCAACCUCAUCACCAACUUCGGUGAGCCGUCGAUGGCCGACAACGCCUUCGACGAGGAGGAGCUGCUGCGCAGCGCUGACGAGGCAUACCUCCGGCUCACAAACGAUGAGAUGUUUUACGAAACGUACAUGAAACGGAUGGGAUGCCGCGGGGCGGCCUACAGCGAGGCGGCCGCACAAGGUGACAAGCCCUCAUCCUCUAGCGCAGACGGUCAGCAGGAGGGCCGUGCGAGCUCCGGCGCUGCCGCCGAUGCCUUCGACUGGAGUGGCCUGCCAUCUCUGGCGGUCGAGACUCGCGACCGCAUUCUUCUCGAGAAGAAAUCGAUGUGCUGCCUGUUCGAAGAUCUCUUUUACCACGCCCGCAACCACUUCCUUACCCGCCGCGCAGAGCCCUAUAACAUGGAGAUCCCGACAGAUGCGGCGGACGCGCUGACGGAGAACGGCGUCGUCGAUCUCAUGCGCACUCUGCGCCUCCCCGCCAAGGUUCAGGAAUCAACAGCUUCGGCCCCCAUGUGCUACGUCAUCGACUCCGUGUCACGUCAGCCCCUCACGCAGCUCGCCGACAAGGCGCAGGUGUGGAUCCAGACCUAUUUCGACACGAAGCUGCGACGGCUUCAGCAGGCGGUGCUGGCGUUCGCAGGGGACGAGGAUGCGCUGCGUAGCGAUGUAAUGGAGCUGUGACCACCUCUUUGGUGCGUGUUCCUGUUGGAUGUAGAGUACACAUGUAUCGCCGUGUCAUAUUUGCUGUGCCUUUCCUCCUUGCUGGGCACUUCGCCUCUUAUAUGUUUGCAUGUCCUCAUCGUGGGUGCGCCCAUGGCUACCGCCGUCGGCCACACACUGGAGUCGUGCUCGCGCGCUUUUCCUUGCUCCUGUGCAUCUGCCUCUCUGUCCUGCCCUCUCUCGUGCACCCGGCAUUGUGCGGCCGCAGCGGCAUUGGCAGGGCGUCGCGUCUCUCUUUGUUUCCCCCUUUUUUCUCCUAGGCUGGUGUCCGCGUGGGGCUCGACUUCUUGG